GGAUGCGAGGAUGAUUAAGGUUACAUCUCUCACCCCACUGAUUGCCUGGAUUGAUUUGCUUACUCUGGUUGGAUAAGCAGUUGUCCUCUUUCUGCCUCAUGGCUCCAUGUGCAUCUCUCCUGAAGCUGUGUGCUUGGCUGGAGGAGGACCUUCCCUGAAAGCAUCAGGACAAGGGUAAAUGAGUAGCUGUACUCCCCUGAUGGAACCUCCAGGCAAGUUAUCAAGAAUGGGAUUUGCCAAUGUGAAACAGCAAUGGUGAAAGUAAAAUAAGAUGUGCAAUAGUGUCAGUAUUU
ensembl:misc_RNA 7SK 7SK RNA